AGCGAACGCUGGCGGCAGGCCUAACACAUGCAAGUCGAGCGCCCAGCAAUGGGAGCGGCAGACGGGUGAGUAACGCGUGGGGAUCUGCCCAAUGGUACGGAAUAACCCAGGGAAACUUGGACUAAUACCGUAUGUGCCCUUCGGGGGAAAGAUUUAUCGCCAUUGGAUGAACCCGCGUCGGAUUAGCUAGUUGGUGAGGUAAAGGCUCACCAAGGCGACGAUCCGUAGCUGGUCUGAGAGGAUGAUCAGCCACACUGGGACUGAGACACGGCCCAGACUCCUACGGGAGGCAGCAGUGGGGAAUAUUGGACAAUGGGCGCAAGCCUGAUCCAGCCAUGCCGCGUGUGUGAUGAAGGCCUUAGGGUUGUAAAGCACUUUCGCCGGUGAAGAUAAUGACGGUAUCCGGAGAAGAAGCCCCGGCUAACUUCGUGCCAGCCGCCGCAGUAACAC
rnacentral:rRNA from 1 species